rnacentral:rRNA from 1 species
AUUGAACGCUGGCGGCAGGCCUAGCACAUGCAAGUCGAGCGAACCUAGCUUGCUAGGUGAGCGGCGAACGGGUGAGUAACACGUAGGAAUCUGCCCGAUAGUGGGGGACAACGUCUCGAAAGGGACGCUAAUACCGCAUACGCCCUAAGGGGGAAAGCAGGGGAUCUUCGGACCUUGCGCUAUCGGAUGAGCCUGCGUCGGAUUAGCUAGUUGGCGGGGUAAAGGCCCACCAAGGCGACGAUCCGUAGCUGGUCUGAGAGGAUGAUCAGCCACACCGGAACUGAGACACGGUCCGGACUCCUACGGGAGGCAGCAGUGGGGAAUAUUGGACAAUGGGGGCAACCCUGAUCCAGCCAGGCCGCGUGUGUGAAGAAGGCCUUCGGGUUGUAAAGCACUUUAAGCGGGGAGGAAAGUUUGCUGGCUAAUAUCCAGCGGAAUUGACGUUACCCGCAGAAUAAGCACCGGCUAACUCCGUGCCAGCCGCCGCCGUAA